rnacentral:rRNA from 1 species
AACGUAGGUGGCGAGCGUUAUCCGGAUUUACUGGGCGUAAAGCAUGUGCAGACGGGUUGGUAAGUGGUGUAUGAAAGCGUCCGGCUUAACCGGGCAAGGGUAUGCCAGACUGCCAGUCUUGAGAAUGGGAGAGGGAUGUGGAAUUCCGGGUGUAGUGGUGAAAUGCGUAGAGAUCCGGAGGAACCCCAGAGGCGAAGGCGGCGUCCUGGCCCAUUUCUGACGUUCAGACAUGACAGCAUGGGGAGCGAACGGGG